AAAAGAUUCCUUCAGACUUCCUGAUCCAUUUGCAAAAAUAGUAGUAGACGGAUCAGGUCAGUGCCAUUCAACUGACACUGUGAAGAACACAUUAGACCCCAAGUGGAACCAGCAUUAUGAUCUAUAUGUUGGGAAAACAGAUUCUAUAACCAUCAGUGUAUGGAAUCACAAGAAAAUACACAAGAAACAGGGAGCUGGCUUCCUGGGGUGUGUCCGUCUCCUUUCCAAUGCCAUCAGCAGACUAAAAGAUA